UUUCAUACAAUAUUCGAAUAAAACAAAAUAUAUAACUACAACGGAAUACAAUUUACAUACAAUUAUACUACAACUUUGCUAUAAUUUCGUAAGUAUAUGGUAUGUCAUGUCUUCUUCUUCUUCUUCUUCUUCUUCUUCUUCUUCUUCGACAAGUUUCAAUCUGAAAUUUAGCCAAAAUCAAGUCUAAGCUUCACCAAACACCCUCAAAAUUGAGAUAUAAACUCCAAACAAUAUUCCCAAUUGUUUGCAACAACACCCAAUCCAAACAAAUAAUGGUUUUUGAAAACCCAAAUUCGAAUUCAAAGCUUCAAAACUCUUUAAUGACUGUCAAUGGUGGAGAGUCAAACACUUGAAUAUUAAAAACUCUUUAUUGCUCAUCGUCGAGGAGGAUUUUCAUCCUACUCAUUUCAUCCAACUUUGGACAGUAGUACAAUGCUUCAACAGAACCAUUCAAUGGAAAAGCCAAUCACCUUCAAAGAGUUCAAUACCAAAUUUCGCUUAUCACUUGUACAUACAAUUUCUUGAAAUGUUUGGAGAUGUGGUAAAUAUUCUCAUCAAUGUCUUUACCUGUUCUAAUAUUUCUUUUUUAUUUUAAUUUUUCCUACAUUUCUUGAAAGGGGAACAAACUGCUGGUCAAAAUAUGUUAGUAGAUUUUAUCUCAUAUGGUUCUCGCGGUCCUCUGUUUGAUUGAAUUUGGAAAGGAAAAUGCUUGUUGAAAGAGGUAUGGAGAGAAAAUAGGAAAAUGAUGUAACUAAAUCCCCUAAUUUAAGGCAUUAAUAAUGGAUUGUAUAUAAUUUAUAAGUAAUCCUUGUUUAGGACGGGGUAAUAUACAAAAUUAGAACAAUUUUGAUAAAUAAAUUUCAAAUAUUAUAUAGGAAAGAAAAAAUUCCAUAAAAAUUGUGCACGAAAGUUUUUUUUUAAGUUUGUAACAAAAAGUCACUAACUCUUACCAUUUCACAUAAAAAUCACUUUUCUUUAGCUUCUAACAUAAAAAUCACUCAAACUCUCGUUAUUUCACAUAGAAAGUCACUCAACUCUUGUCAUUUCACAUAGAAUGCCACUAAAACAACACUCAGGUGGUAUUUUCGGCAACUUGGCUGAUGUGGCAAUAUUUUUUUUUGAAGCCAAACGUUAAAAAAAAAAAAACACCCAUUACAAGCAUUUUACUGACCUGCUCUUGAUCCGACCAGCUACCUCUUUUUAACAUAACAGAAGCUCCAUUAGGGAUUAGAAAUUUGAGGGACUUUUCUAUUACAAAUUUUAAGAAGAAAAAAUAAAAAACUUUAAAGAACAAUUUUCUUUAGUUGAAUGAUCGUACAAGCAAUUAAAUCUCCGGUAUCUUUCUUUCCUGAACAUUUCAAGGAAGAAAAAGAAUAACUUGAAAGAGUAUAUAUCAAUGGAAUAUUUAUUCAUACAAACAAAUGAAGCAAGUUACAUUCUUUUAAUAAUCAUUGUUAGCAUCAGUUUGGAACAAUAAAUAAAUUACACAAAACUAGAGAGGCAUUCAGGCAUACCCCUCAGAAAACACAAUGAAGCCAAAGAAAACCUACUUAAUUUUGUGUUAUUCUCCAUUAACUUGAAGCUGCUUGUGCAAUCUCUCUUAGGAAGUUUGACAACACUCACUAGCUCCUCAUUAGGAGGUUCAGCAAAAAUUUUAACUUUGACAAUAGAUCCAUCUUUGAUAUUAUAAGCAGAUAGAAAUUGAUCACUCUUCAUUUUUGUAGACUUGUGAUAAAGAUUCAUGUAUUCAUCUCCCCAUACCUUUAUGAUAAUCUUCAUUAAUUCUCUCACUCUACUUUUUUCUCUUACUUCAACAUAAAAUUCUGAUGUUGGAGACUCCACCUUAAUCCUUAUUCUUGGUUCUUCGACGGACACCAACUUGCUCGGGAUUGAGACGUUAUUAUUGAUGUUAUUUGAUCCUCCGGCCAUGAGGUUUACAAAAUGAGAAGGAUGAAAUUGAAAGAGUUAGAAGGCAGAAAGUUAAGAUUGAAAUAAUAGUUGUGUUGGAAUUGUUGUUGAGAGGAUAAUGUUUUCAAC
rnacentral:lncRNA from 1 species